rnacentral:rRNA from 1 species
UACAGAGGGGGCAAGCGUUGUUCGGAAUUACUGGGCGUAAAGCGUGCGUAGACGGUAGCGUAAGUCAGAUGUGAAAGCCCCGGGCUCAACCUGGGAACUGCAUUUGAGACUGCUCUGCUCGGGUGCGGAAGAGGGAAGCGGAAUUUCCGGUGUAGCGGUGAAAUGCGUAGAUAUCGGAAGGAACACCAGUGGCGAAAGCGGCUUCCUGGUCCGACACCG